UGAAACAUGGUUCAGGAGUUUACAUGUUUUCGAGUCAAAGGUAUGCUCGAGACCCCGAGCCGUAGUGAACGAGAUUUCUGCGUCGAUCAGCGAUUUUCUAACUGACGAGAUGAGAUCGUGCUGAUGGGUGAGACUGACAGACCUGACAGGAUCGGCCGACAUAUGGAGCAGUGGGCGCAUCAACGGACAGUCCCAUGGGGUGCACACUGGUGUGCGUCAAGGGAUUUGCUAAUGUCAGUGAAUGAGUCAGCUAGCCAGCCACUGCGUCAUCGGGUCGGAGCGUGUGCAUGCACGGCGAGUCCCGAAAGAGUGGUGAGCUAUGCUUGCGUAGCAAGAAGCCAGAGAGACACUAUGGUGGAGGACCGUAGCGAUUCGGACGCACAAAUCGAUCGUCAAACGGGAGUAUAGGGGCGAAAGACUAAUCGAACCAUAUAGUAGCUGGUUUCCUCCGAAGUUUCCCUCAGGUAUAGCUGGCAUUCAUUAGCAAAAUCAGUUUUAUCCGGUAAAGCAAAUGACUAGAGGUGCUGGGCUCGAAACGAGCUCAACCUAUUUCAAACUUUAAAUGGGUGAGAUUUCCAACUCGCUUCAGACGCGUGCAUUGCAGCGGGUGGAGUUGGGCGUNGAAUGUGCGGGUGCCAAGUGGGCCAUUUUGGAAAGCAGAACUGGCGCUGUGGGAUGAACCAAACGCCCGGUUAAGGUGCCUAACGCUGACGCUCAUGAGAUACCACAAAAGGUGUUGGUUAAUAUAGACAGCAGGACGGUGGCCAUGGAAGUCGGCAUCCGCUAAGGAGUGUGUAACAACUCACCUGCCGAAUUGACCAGCCCUGAAAAUGGAUGGCGCUGGAGCGUCGGACCUACACCGGGCCGUCAUCGCAAGCUGGAUUGGUGGCUGUGCGCGUUUGCGUCAUGGUCCAGGCGUGGAGUGCGAUGCUGAGUAGGAGGGUCGCCGUGGUGAGCGUGGAAGCCGCAGACGUGAGUCGUGGUGGAGCCGCCACGGGUGCAGAUCUUGGUGGUAGUAGCAAGUAUUCAAGUGAGAACCUUGAGGGCCGAGGUGGAGAAGGGUUCCAUGGGAACAGCAGUUGGCCAUGGGUCAGGCGGUCCUGAGCGAUCCGGUGACUCGGUGCAGAGUCGUGGGGUGCCUUGCAUGAGUGCGUGCGUGCGUGCGUGCGUGCGCGCAUAGGCGUGGUGUUGUAUGUUGGCAGCCCCCCGGAGCGAAAGGGAAUCGGGUUAACAUUCUCGACCCUGCUCACGGAGAUGGGUGGUGUCGGUCGGUCGGUCGGUCGGUCGGUCGUUCGUUCGUUCGACACGGGCGGCACCAUCGGGCGCGGUGACGCAAACGAACUCGGAGACGUCGGCAGGAGUUCCGGGGAGAGUUCUCUUUUCUUUGUAAGGACGGUUAUUGCCCCUGGAAUCGGGUUGUCCGGAGAUAGGGGUAUCACCUCCGUAAAGCACCACCUCUCCUGUGGUGUCCGGAAGGCUCUUGUAGGCCCUUGAAAAUCCGAGGGAGGCGGUGUUAUUUUCGUGGCAGGCCGUACCCAUAUCCGCAUCAGGUCUCCAAGGUGAAGAGCCUCUGGCACUGGAAUAAUGUAGGUAAGGGAAGUCGGCAUACUUGAUCCGUAACCUCGGGAAAAGGAUUGGCUCUGAGGGCUGAGUCAAACAGGCUGGGGAAAGAGACGGACUCGCUCAGCUUGCAACUGGCCGGUGGGCUGGCAGGCUAGCUGUUGAGCCACACACCGUGUGGGGUAUGCAGUUGCACUCGCCCGCCUGGUGGCUGGAGGUGAGUAGGGUGAACCGUGGGCGGACCCAGCUGCACGUGCGCCUCGGCUGAUUGGUCGGUUGGUGGGUGGUUGACGCUGCUGCUGCUGCUGCUGCUGCUGCCUGUCGGCGUGUAGAGCAGUGCGCGGCGUUGCUACCACGGCUGUCUGUCUGUCUGGCUGGCUGGCUGGCUGGCUGGCUGGCUGGCCGGCCGGCCGGCAUCGUCGAGUCGGGGCGUGCUUGUUUGACGCCAAACAGCCAACUCAGAACUGGCACGGACGUGGGGGAUCCGACUGUCUAAUUAAAACAAAGCAUUGCGAUGUCUGCUGAUCGGUUUUGACGCAAUGUGAUUUCUGCCCAGUGCUCUGAAUGUCAAAGUGAAGAAAUUCAACCAAGCGCGGGUAAACGGCGGGAGUAACUAUGACUCUCUUAAGGUAGCCAAAUGCCUCGUCAUCUAAUUAGUGACGCGCAUGAAUGGAUUAACGAGAUCCCUACUGUCCCUAUCUACUAUCUAGCGAAACCACAGCCAAGGGAACGGGCUUGGCAGAAUCAGCGGGGAAAGAAGACCCUGUUGAGCUUGACUCUAGUCCGACUUUGUGAAGAGACAUGGCGGGUGUAGCAGUAAGUGGGAGACUCGGUGUCUGCUGCCGGGUACGACAAUGAAAGACCACUCCCAUCAUUGUUUCUUUACUUAUUCAGUGAGGCGGGAUGAGCAGCAAUGUGUAUGAAAGUAGUUGCAUUGGCAUUGAAGCACAUGCCGGCGUGUGGGCUCGCGCUCACGUGACGGCAUCUUCGGUCGCAGCCGGCUGGCCGCUGUCUGCUGCUGCUGCUGCUGCCGCUGCUGCGGGUG
rfam:Echinococcus multilocularis genomic scaffold, pathogen_EMT_contig_0612